rnacentral:rRNA from 1 species
AGCUGGUUCUCCCCGAAAUAGCUUUAGGGCUAGCCUUGAGGAAGCGAUUACCGGAGGUAAAGCACUGAUUAGUCAAGGGGUCGAUAAGAUUACCGACACUUCUCAAACUAAGAAUGCCGGAGAAUUAAACUCAGGAGUCAGACUGUGUGAGAUAAGUUUCACAGUCGAAAGGGAAACAGCCCAGACCUACAGCUAAGGUCCCAAAUAUAUGCUAAGUGGAAAAGGAUGUAUAGUUGCGAAAACAACCAGGAUGUUGGCUUAGAAGCAGCCAUUCAUUAAAAGAGUGCGUAAUAGCUCACUGGUCGAGUGACAAUGCGCCGAAAAUUCAACGGGGCUAAGCAUAUAACCGAAGCUUAGGCUUGUACUGAAAGGUACAGGGGUAGGGGAGCGUUUUGUAUAGGGUGAAGUCAGAGCGAGAGCACUGGUGGACAAUACAAAAGAGAGAAUGCCGGAAUGAGUAGCGAGAAUUAUGUGAGAAUCAUAAUGGUCGAAAAUCUAAGGUUUCUAGGGGAAGGUUCGUCCGCCCUAGGUAAGUCGGAAGCUAAGGCGAGGCCGAAAGGCGUAGUCGAUGCACAAACGGUUGAUAUUCCGUUACCGUCGAAACUGUUAAGUAAGCUGACACUUCGUAAUAGAGGAACCCGGGCGUUGGUUGACCCGGGCGAAAGGGUGGCUGAAAUAGCCGGAAGUCCUUGAUGUACGGAGGCGAGAAAAGGCUUAUGUAUUGGUAAGAUGUCCGUACCGCAAACCGACACAGGUAGAUGAGGAGAGAAUCCUAAGACCAUCGGGAGAAGGGUUGUUAAGGAACUCGGCAAGUUGACCCCGUAACUUCGGGAGAAGGAGUGCCGGUGUAAGAGCCGGCCGCAGAGAAUAGGUCCAGGCGACUGUUUAGCAAAAACACAGGUCUCUGCUAAAUCGAAAGAUGAUGUAUAGGGGCUGACGCCUGCCCGGUGCCGGAAGGUUAAGAUGAGAUGUCAGAGCAAUCGAAGCAUUGACUUGAAGCCCCGGUAAACGGCGGCCGUAACUAUAACGGUCCUAAGGUAGCGAAAUUCCUUGUCAGGUAAGUUCUGACCCGCACGAAUGGCGUAAUGAUCUGGGCACUGUCUCAACAGCCCGCCCGGCGAAAUUGUAGUACCGGUAAAGAUGCCGGUUACCCGCGACUAGACGGAAAGACCCCAUGGAGCUUCACUGCAGUUUGAUAUUGGAUUUUGAUAUUUUAUGUACAGGAUAGGUGGGAGACGAAGAAGUAUACGCGCCAGCGUAUAUGGAGUCGCUGUUGGGAUACCACUCUUAAAAUAUUGGAAUUCUAACCUGCACCCGUGAACCGGGUCGGGGAACAGUGUCAGACGGGCAGUUUGACUGGGGCGGUCGCCUCCAAAAGAGUAACGGAGGCGCUCAAAGGUUGGCUCAGCAUGGACGGAAAUCAUGCAAAGAGUGCAAACGCAAAAGCCAGCCUAACUGCGAGGUAGACAUACCGAGCAGUAACGAAAGUUGGAGUUAGUGAUCCGGCGGUAU